rnacentral:rRNA from 1 species
UAACGCGUGGGUAACCUGCCUUACACAGGGGGAUAACACUUAGAAAUAGGUGCUAAUACCGCAUAAGCGCACAGUCCCGCAUGGGACAGAGUGAAAAACAUUAGUGGUGUAAGAUGGACCCGCGUCUGAUUAGCUUGUUGGCGGGGUAACGGCCCACCAAGGCGACGAUCAGUAGCCGGCCUGAGAGGGUGGACGGCCACAUUGGGACUGAGACACGGCCCAAACUCCUACGGGAGGCAGCAGUGGGGGAUAUUGGACAAUGGGGGAAACCCUGAUCCAGCGACGCCGCGUGAGUGAAGAAGUAUUUCGGUAUGUAAAGCUCUAUCAGCAGGGAAGAAAGAAAUGACGGUACCUGAGUAAGAAGCCCCGGCUAACUACGUGCCAGCAGCCGCGGUAAUACGUAGGGGGCAAGCGUUAUCCGGAAUUACUGGGUGUAAAGGGAGCGUAGACGGUAAUGCAAGUCUGGAGUGAAAGGCGGGGGCCCAACCCCCGGACUGCUCUGGAAACUGUGUAACUGGAGUGCAGGAGAGGCAGGCGGAAUUCCUAGUGUAGCGGUGAAAUGCGUAGAUAUUAGGAGGAACACCAGUGGCGAAGGCGGCCUGCUGGACUGUAACUGACGUUGAGGCUCGAAAGCGUGGGGAGCAAACAGGAUUAGAUACCCUGGUAGUCCACGCCGUAAACGAUGAUUACUAGGUGU